CGUGACGUCACGGGCCACCCGCCAGCCCCGCGCUCUACCAGGCAGAGCGCGUGUGGCCGCCGAGCACAUGGACCCACUGGUCAAGCGGGCUCGGCAAGGCCAGGAUGAAGAGAAGCUACGAACUUAGCAUUCCCAGAGCCCCCCGAGUGGAUAUCCGCGUGGAAAGGAUGUUGGCAGCCCCGGUGACCUCGGAGUCACGGCUGGAUCCACCCUCUUUAUACCCUUUAAGCGUUCCAGAAGGAUUUUGAGAUCCUUUCCUAAAUCAAAGGUGGAAUAUUUGGGGAUUUGGAAAAUUGAGAUGUGAAGCGUUGACUUAAGAGAUGCCAAGUAACUCAGCAGAUGUCACACAGACGAUAAAUAGCAAAGAUGGAAGUCUUCAUGCCGGAGGCAAUCCUAUAAGACAGCUGAGUUCUGCAGAGCUGGAGACAGACUUGCUCAGGUGAUAGAUCCAGCCAUGAUACUGACCCUAAGAGAAUGAGACGCUCUGCAGAAGACAGAAGAUUCCUGAAACUGGGAAAGGUGCCUAGAAAUCCUGAUAAGAGUGAAGAAGGCUCGGCUCUCCAGUGUGGUUUUCCAACAGGAGUCAAAUAUUAAAGGACAUGAGCGUGUUGGGGAAAAAGAUGGAUAGUGCUAAACAGCCUGAGUUCAUCCUCACUAUCCUCUUCAUAAGGAGAGCAAGAACAACCCCGGAAAUGGCUCAUGCUUAAGGUUUCUAACCACGGUCACACCUACAACACACUGAUUGACAAUAUAGGUUACAGUACACAUGGCUCUGCUAUUUGCUUUUUGGUCACUUUGAUAUUCCCUGGUACCUGGGAAGAAGGAAUCUCCGUUGAGGAGUUGCCUACAUUUGAUUAGCCCGUAGGCAUGUCUCUGAGGCCUUUUCAUAGUUGCUAAUUGAUGGAGGACAGCUUAGCCCACUGUGGGUGGUGCCAUCUCCUGGACAUGGGGUCCUGGCUUAUAUCAGAAGGGAAGCUAAGCAUGCGCCUGGGAGCAAGCCAGUAAGUAGGUCUCCUCCAUGGUCCCUGUCUCUGCUCCUGCCCUUAAUUUCCUCAGCGAAUGACUGAUGCAAACAUGUAAGCCAAACAAACCCUUCUUUCCUCUCUGUUACUGUUGGUCGUGGUGUUUAUCACAGCAAUAGGAAAAAACACUAGGGCAGUGACGUAUAAGAGUGCACUGUGCCAUUGUGAGGAUUCAAUAUCCUUAGCGAUCUUCAGAAAAAGUUUACUAUGGUGCCUGGAGCAUUGUUAUUUGCAGAGAUCCCUAGUGGCUCCUGGGCCUCAGUUUCCCUGUCUUCAUUCUGUCUGUAUUAUAUAAGCAUGGUGUCCAUAGCUCUAGCUCUUGCUUAAUGAUUCAACUGAGUAGGUACAACCAUGCUGACCAGCCAUGACAUGUCCUGCCUGGCCAUAGCCUGGAGUUGGACACAGAAACAGGGGCAUAGCUGCCUACUGUGUGUGGCACAGUGUGUGUCAAACUCCUGGAGGCAGCCAGGCAGCCAUCUCUAUAUUCUUCCUAUCAGAAUUCCUUUCACAGGUCCAAGCCAUCUUAAGAUGGAUAAAGGCCUGGCCUUCAGGCAAGGCUAUGCCUGUCAGUUCCGAAUCUCCAGCUAAGUGGACUUGCAGCCCUCCCUGUCCUCUGGAUGUCUGCAUCAUUCAUACAAGGGACACGUUCUCUUUAGAGAAGAGCGUCUUCUGGGCUUCUCCCAGGUUGGAAGUGUCCUCUACUUCUUUCUUCCUGGCAAAAGCACUGGCCUAAGCAGCUCAGGAACAACCUACAAUAGAGGGAGGGCCUCUUACCUCGGAUGGAAGUGGAAACAUAGUCUCCACGUUGGAACUGAGUCUUGGUUAUGCUCUGAGAAGUAGCCUGGAUUUCUAAGAUCUCAUGCUCAUCGUUUUCUCUGGAGGCCCAACUCUGUUCUCAUGAGCCCUGGCACGUUCCCUACCAGCAUCUUUGUUUCCUAUCUGAGGAGUGCGGAUGAUGCUUCUCCUGGUAAGGGGUAUGAAUAGAAUUCCUGCCUGUGUUCUAUGUGCUGAAUCCCAGAGCCUAGAGUAGGGCCUGGGCUCUGGCGAUUGACUGGUAAACACUUGUUUUGGAAGAGAUAGUAGAGUCUUUGGAGUUCCUGGCACAAUCUUCUUGGAUAGUUGCCUGUGCCCGUUCUAAACCAGGAUCUGACUAAUUACAACUCCUCCUGCUUGCAUUAAAGUUUUAUUGGAACAUGGCGGUGUUCACGGUUUUAUAUGAUGUCGUCGAGCUUCUUUGCUCCCGCACUGGUAAAUUUAAUAGUCAUGAGAGAGAUAUGGCCGUGAAGCCUAAAAUAAAAACUAUGUGGCACUUGGUUACAAAAA
rnacentral:lncRNA from 1 species